rnacentral:rRNA from 1 species
UACGUAGGGUGCAAGCGUUAAUCGGAAUACUGGGCGUAAAGCGUGCGCAGGCGGUUUUGUAAGUCUGUCGUGAAAGCCCCGGGCUUAACCUGGGAAUUGACGAUGGAGACUGCAAGGCUUGAAUCUGGCAGAGGGGGGUAGAAAUUCCACGUGUAGCAGGUGAAAUGCGUAGAGAUGUGGAGGAACACCGAUGGCGAAGGCAGCCCCUGGGUCAAGAUUGACGCUCA